UCCCCCGUGGCGCAAUUGGCUAGCGCGUCUGACUGUUAGUUAUACGCAACGCAAUCAGGAGGUUGGUGGUUCAAGCCCACCCGGAGGAG
rnacentral:tRNA from 1 species